rnacentral:rRNA from 1 species
UACAGAGGUCCCGAGCGUUGUUCGGAUUCACUGGGCGUAAAGGGUGCGUAGGUGGCUUGAAAAGUUUGAUGUGAAAGCUCAGGGCUUAACCCUGAAAUGGCAUUGAAUACUGUCGAGCUGGAGGUUUGGAGGGGGGACUGGAAUUCUUGGUGUAGCAGUGAAAUGCGUAGAUAUCAAGAGGAACACCAGUGGCGAAGGCGGCAUCCUGGACCAACAUUGACGCUGAGGAGCGAAAGCCAGGGGAGCAAACGGG